rnacentral:rRNA from 1 species
UACGUAGGGUGCGAGCGUUGCCCGGAUUUAUUGGGCGUAAAGGGCGCGUAGGCGGUGAGACACGUUCGUUGUGAAAUCGCCCGGCUCAACUGGGCGGGGUCAGCGGAUACGGCGUGGCUGGAGCAAGCUAGGGGGCAAUGGAAUUCCCGGUGUAGUGGUGGAAUGCGUAGAUAUCGGGAGGAACACCAGUGGCGAAGGCGGUUGCCUGGAGCUUUGCUGACGCUGAGGCGCGACAGCGUGGGGAGCAAACAGG